rfam:TPA: Bos taurus chromosome 9, whole genome shotgun sequence.
GUCUAGGGCCACACCACCCUGAACGCGCCUGAUCUCGUCUGAUCUUGAAAGCAAAGCAGGGUUGGGCUUGGUUAGUACUUGGAUGGAAGAAGUGGGUGAGGAUAUCUCAUUAUUUUUUUCC